ACUGAGUUAGCAUAUUAUUAAUGCGGGGGAUUGUAAAUCCUUUAAAAGAUAGUUAUCUAUUCGGGG
rnacentral:tRNA from 1 species